GACGAACGCUGGCGGCGUGCUUAACACAUGCAAGUCGAACGGAAAGGCCCUUCGGGGUACUCGAGUGGCGAACGGGUGAGUAACACGUGGGUGAUCUGCCCUGCACUUUGGGAUAAGCCUGGGAAACUGGGUCUAAUACCGAAUAGGACCACGCGCUUCAUGGUGUGUGGUGGAAAGCUUUUGCGGUGUGGGAUGGGCCCGCGGCCUAUCAGCUUGUUGGUGGGGUAAUGGCCUACCAAGGCGACGACGGGUAGCCGGCCUGAGAGGGUGACCGGCCACACUGGGACUGAGAUACGGCCCAGACUCCUACGGGAGGCAGCAGUGGGGAGUAUUGCACAAUGGGCGCAAGCCUGAUGCAGCGACGCCGCGUGAGGGAUGACGGCCUUCGGGUUGUAAACCUCUUUCAAUAGGGACGAAGCGCAAGUGACGGUACCUAUAGAAGAAGCACCGGCAAACUACGUG
rnacentral:rRNA from 1 species